rnacentral:rRNA from 1 species
UUCUGUAAGCCUGCGAAGGUGGCCUGUGAGGGUUGCUGGAGGUAUCAGAAGUGCGAAUGCUGACAUAAGUAACGAUAAUGCGGGUGAAAAGCCCGCACGCCGGAAGACCAAGGGUUCCUGUCCAACGUUAAUCGGGGCAGGGUGAGUCGACCCCUAAGGCGAGGCCGAAAGGCGUAGUCGAUGGGAAACAGGUUAAUAUUCCUGUACUUGGUGUUACUGCGAAGGGGGGACGGAGAAGGCUAUGUUAGCCGGGCGACGGUUGUCCCGGUUUAAGCAUGUAGGCGGAGGUUCCAGGUAAAUCCGGUACCUUUUAACGCUGAGGUGUGAUGACGAGGCACUACGGUGCUGAAGUAACAAAUGCCCUGCUUCCAGGAAAAGCCUCUAAGCAUCAGGUAACAUU